rnacentral:rRNA from 1 species
AGAGUAAGUAAAAGUCGUAACAAGGUCUCCGUUGGUGAACCAGCGGAGGGAUCAUUACCGAGUUUACAACUCCCAAACCCCUGUGAACAUACCUAUACGUUGCCUCGGCGGAUCAGCCCGCGCCCCGUAAAACGGGACGGCCCGCCCGAGGACCCCUAAACUCUGUUUUUAGUGGAACUUCUGAGUAAAACAAACAAAUAAAUCAAAACUUUCAACAACGGAUCUCUUGGUUCUGGCAUCGAUGAAGAACGCAGCAAAAUGCGAUAAGUAAUGUGAAUUGCAGAAUUCAGUGAAUCAUCGAAUCUUUGAACGCACAUUGCGCCCGCCAGUAUUCUGGCGGGCAUGCCUGUUCGAGCGUCAUUUCAACCCUCAAGCUCAGCUUGGUGUUGGGACUCGCGGUAACCCGCGUUCCCCAAAUCGAUUGGCGGUCACGUCGAGCUUCCAUAGCGUAGUAAUCAUACACCUCGUUACUGGUAAUCGUCGCGGCCACGCCGUAAAACCCCAACUUCUGAAUGUUGACCUCGGAUCAGGUAGGAAUACCCGCUGAACUUAAGCAUAUCAAUAAGC